AUUGAACGCUGGCGGCAGGCCUAACACAUGCAAGUCGAGCGAGCGGCGGACGGGUGAGUAAUGUAUGGGGAUCUGCCCGAUGGAGGGGGAUAACUACUGGAAACGGUGGCUAAUACCGCAUACUAUCGGAUGAAUCCAUAUGGGAUUAGCUAGUAGGUGGGGUAAAGGCUCACCUAGGCGACGAUCCCUAGCUGGUCUGAGAGGAUGAUCAGCCCAACGGGGACUGAGACACGGUCCAUGCUCCUACGGGAGGCAGCAGUGGGGAAUAUUGCACAAUGGGCGCAAUCCUGAUGCAGCCAUGCCGCGUGUAUGAAGAAGGCCUUAGGGUUGUAAAGUACUUUCAGCGGGGAGGCGUUACCCGCAGACGAGGCACCGGCUAACUCCGUGCCAGCAGCCGCGGUAAUAC
rnacentral:rRNA from 1 species